UUCAGCUCUGCAAUUAGCUCUAGAGCCUGUCAUGCUCCCAGUAGUUAAAAUAGUAGUUGUAAUUUUGACCAUAUGUAAAUUAGGACUACAUGUUAUGUAUCAUAAUGCAAAUAAAGCAGAAGGCUGGCGCUUAUUACUCGCUCUUUCUGUACAGCUCGUUUUUCCUCUCAAUUUGGACUUGAUUGGGCCCUGCAGGAUUUAACCCCCCCCAAGUUCAACGCCCCAUUGGCCAAUUAUGUUUACGGAUCCCGCUGAAGGACAUUAGAGAUGGCCAAUGUUCAGCCACCUAUAAAUUAGCAUACCGGUUGCCUAGGAGACCGUAGUGGGGAAGCGUUUCGGUGACGUCAAUCUUCAUUGAUAGUCCAUUAUCGGCGAUAAUGACUUCCUCUCCGCCAACAGGGCUCGAUAAGGAGUCUGUUCAGCUCGGUGAGAGCAUGGAGGAGAAAGGAGGCAGAAAGGAGCUCACCGUCCUAACGCUGUCCGCGAGUUUUCACUGCCUUGGAAUUAUCCUCAACUCAGCUCCGGCAUAAAACAGCCACAAGACCUAAUCUUGAGCUUGCGCAUCGCUUGUGUAUCCAGUAAUGAGCAAUGAGCUGAAGCUACAGAAGCAGCGAAAAACAAUUCAUCCUCCGCUCCUCUCUUCCUGUGCUGUUGUUUUGUUUUCUCCGGCAGGGUCUUUGAUGUCAUAUCCUCUUACAUUUUGCUCUCCCCCUCCUCCCCAGCAGCCAUGUUUUCAAAGAAACAUCCAGCAGAAAACACUCUCUGCAUUUGAAAUGUAGAUUGCUCGCACUCCCGCCAUUCUGCAUACAGCACAUGCCCUUUUCCAUUCUCCCUCUUUCUUCCCUCGUUCCAGGAGUAGGCUUUUCCCCGACAAUUCAUCUGAUACAUUUGAAUGGCUUCCCCAUCAAGGCCUUUGUGUUUUGGGUGUCAUGUAUAAUCUGUGGCAAAAGCGAUGCAGAAGAGGCUUCAUCCUCCAUUUGCUCUCCAUCCGGGUGAUGUCAUAGCAAUUCUGAAUGUAUGCAAUGUGUUUUCUGUGAUGGAGAGAUAAUGUAUUAAUGUAUUAAUCUCUAUGUAUUAACUCUUAUGAAGCUAAUAUGUAAGUUAUGUAUUUAUGAGAGUUUGGCAAGAAGUUAGCACUAAAAAAAAAAGAAAUCGAAGUAGUUAUUAAGAUUCAUGAAUCAAAUAUACAACAUGAACAUAAUUAUAGCCAAACAAAUAGAAAUUCAAAAUUGUGUGGCUGUAAUAUAUUUUAUUCAUGUGCCAGUGAUGUUCAUAUUUGAAUCAAGUAAAUUCACUUUUUUCAGUGUUUAAGUGUUGCUAUGAGUUAACUUUGCAUUUCUAAUCAAACAUUUCUAGAUCCUUGCACAUGCAGCCAUGUAGAAUCUGUGAAGUUCUGCCUUUUAACCCUUAAACUACUUAUAAGGCUUCUUAUUCAGUUAUUAAUCUUAGGACUGUGCCCUUUGUGUAACUACUUUGAAUUAUUUGGCAACUACUAUGAAACUAUUAUUAUAUAUUCUGUACUUCAAAAUGGUUGAUCAGUGUCGGAUUAUGGGCCAUACUGGGGCAUCACUGCAUUGAGAAGAAGCUUUGAGUUGAUGUAGUGCAGAUUCUCUCUCUCUCUCUCUCUCUCUCUCUCUCUCUCUCUCUCUCUCUCUCUCUCUCCCUCUCCCUGUCUGUAAUGCUUCACACCUGUCCAAGCUUUGGAGAGGAUUCUGCCUCAGGUACCCGUCUUACUGGUUCGCUGUCCUCGAAAGACUCUCAGGUAUUUCCCAAGUGUGUGUAUGUGUGUACAUAUUUCACAUCCCCCUCUCUACCACCUGACUUUGGGUGCUUGGGGCCCUGCUGUUAUUUACCAGUGAUCUGCUCCCCUAAUCCUCUGCUCUGUGGCUGAAGGGUGUAUUUCACUGUGGCAUGCCUGAUGUCUACGGGCGCGCUCACCUUUCACUUCCCAUGAACAUCUGUGACCCAGAGAAACGUAGUUCCACCCUGCUAACGCAAACAGAGCGGGGAGAUCAAAGGCAGGCUGAGCUCACCUGUGCUCCAGGAGAGAAAGCUUCUUAAACCGUCACAUGACCCGUAAACAGGAACAAAUCAACAUGUCUGCUCCCGAAUGCCUUCAGUCACUCACAGCUUUUUGGAUGUCUGUCAUGACAGUGGAAUUACACAAGAAAAGGAGAACUGAAGGCAAACAUAGAAGGAAAACACCAUUGUUUUAACUUGUUUGUUGAACUCUUUAACCUUUUUAUCUUCAUCCUUUAAUUACUAGAAAGGACGAACUUGUGGCUACUGGCUGUUGCAUAUUAUUAGAGACUGUUUUUACAGCAAAUUUAAGAGUUUAAAAAUGACAUGUAUUAUCUUAUAUGCUAUAUCUUUAUUGGCCCCAAAUGUAUUUGGACACAUUACAUUAUUGUUUGACUUUAAUCAAGUUAUUUAGAUUAGUUCAUAAAAUAUUUAACAAAUGGAUAUUUGCUGCUAAGAAUGACACAUCAUUAUCAACAAAUAGUAGAUUCUUUGCAUGGAGAAAACCCAGAGAAUUCCAGCCAGACGGCACUAAGGGCAUUGGGAAGCACAGAGGUGGAAUUUUUCUGUUUUUCUUGCAGUGGUGUCAGUGAGCUUCUGUUCAUUGACAAGAUCAUUAAAUUAAAAGUGUAAAAAAUGCAUUUUAGUAGGAGACAUGUGGAAGAACAGAAAGCAAAGAAAGAGCUCAAACACUAACAAUCUGAAGCACAUCAUCUGCUUUUUGAAGGAAUACUUUUGUGAAAAGUAAAUGACAUUCUUGGAAAUGAUCCGUUUAAAAUAAAUGCCACUUGGUUUUA